AGAGUUUGAUCCUGGCUCAGGAUGAACGCUGGCGGCAUGCCUAAUACAUGCAAGUCGAACGAGGAUCCUUGUGGAUCCUAGUGGCGAACGGGUGAGUAACACGUAGGGAACCUGCCCGCGCACCGGGAAUACGCUCUGGAAACGGAGAACAAAUCCCGAUGUACAGGAAGGAGGCAUCUUCUUUCUGUGAAACAUCCUGUAAGGGAUGGGGCGCGGAUGGACCUGCGGUGCAUUAGUUGGUUGGCGAGGGUAAAGGCCCACCAAGACGAUGAUGCAUAGCCGGCCUGAGAGGGCGGACGGCCACAUUGGGACUGAGACACGGCCCAGACUCCUGCGGGAGGCAGCAGUAGGGAAUUUUCGUCAAUGGGCGCAAGCCUGAACGAGCGAUGCCGCGUGAGUGAAGAAGGCCUUCGGGUCGUAAAGCUCUGUUGCGGGGGAAAAAAGCAUCUGCAGGAAAUGGUAGAUGACAGAUGGUGCCCCGCCAGAAAGUCACGGCUAACUACGUGCCAGCAGCCGCGGUAAUACGUAGGUGGCGAGCGUUAUCCGGAAUGAUUGGGCGUAAAGGGUGCGCAGGCG
rnacentral:rRNA from 1 species